rnacentral:rRNA from 1 species
CUCCUGCCUGCAUGGGCGGGGGUUGAAAGCUCCGGCGGUGAAGGAUGAGCCCGCGGCCUAUCAGCUUGUUGGUGGGGUAAUGGCCCACCAAGGCGACGACGGGUAGCCGGCCUGAGAGGGCGACCGGCCACACUGGGACUGAGACACGGCCCAGACUCCUACGGGAGGCAGCAGUGGGGAAUAUUGCACAAUGGGCGAAAGCCUGAUGCAGCGACGCCGCGUGAGGGAUGACGGCCUUCGGGUUGUAAACCUCUUUCAGCAGGGAAGAAGCGAAAGUGACGGUACCUGCAGAAGAAGCGCCGGCUAACUACGUGCCAGCAGCCGCGGUAAUACGUAGGGCGCAAGCGUUGUCCGGAAUUAUUGGGCGUAAAGAGCUCGUAGGCGGCUUGUCACGUCGGAUGUGAAAGCCCGAGGCUUAACCUCGGGUCUGCAUUCGAUACGGGCUAGCUAGAGUGUGGUAGGGGAGAUCGGAAUUCCUGGUGUAGCGGUGAAAUGCGCAGAUAUCAGGAGGAACACCGGUGGCGAAGGCGGAUCUCUGGGCCAUUACUGACGCUGAGGAGCGAAAGCGUGGGGAGCGAACAGGAUUAGAUACCCUGGUAGUCCACGCCGUAAACGUUGGGAA